GUUAUAACCUUCCUCAUCCUCCUAGGAGAGAAGAUGGACACCGGACAUUAGGAACGCCCCGACCGUGGGACACGUGGAGGAUGCCACUUUCCCUGACACCGAGCUCAGAAAGGGCCAGCUGCAAGGCUUGCCUUUCCCAGACCAACCCAGUAACAGGCCCUGAAAUGGGUUCAAUUCCCAGCCAGGGCUCCCGGCUGCCGAGGCGGAUCACUGAGGCAGUUAGUGGGACUGACUCAGAGGCAGCAGGGUAAGCCCUCCUCCCAAGUAUUACGAAGACAAAAGAUCUCUCGUGGAGGCUGAGAUGGGAGAGAAAAUGCCGGAUCAGAGAACCAAGUUACAGGCCUGGGACAGCUGAGA